rnacentral:rRNA from 1 species
UGGGGAAUAUUGGACAAUGGGCGAAAGCCUGAUCCACCCAUGCCGCGUGUGUGAAGAAGGCCUUUUGGUUGUAAAGCACUUUAAGCGAGGAGGAGGCUACUUGGAUUAAUACUCUAGGAUAGUGGACGUUACUCGCAGAAUAAGCACCGGCUAACUCUGUGCCAGCAGCCGCGGUAAUACAGAGGGUGCGAGCGUUAAUCGGAUUUACUGGGCGUAAAGCGUGCGUAGGCGGCUUCUUAAGUCGGAUGUGAAAUCCCUGAGCUUAACUUAGGAAUUGCAUUCGAUACUGGGAAGCUAGAGUAUGGGAGAGGAUGGUAGAAUUCCAGGUGUAGCGGUGAAAUGCGUAGAGAUCUGGAGGAAUACCGAUGGCGAAGGCAGCCAUCUGGCCUAAUACUGACGCUGAGGUACGAAAGCAUGGGGAGCAAACAGG